CUUUGGAAUAAUCAGAAGUAUGGUUGACUUUCAAUCACAACAAUUUGCAACAACAACUAAUAAAUAAUAAGCUUCGAAAACAAAUAAUUAAAACAGCUAGCAAUUUCUAUCCAUCUCCCUCACUGUCCCGUCCCUCUGUACAAUAAUGACAUCAUCACACAAAUAAUGGCAUCCAACCAAAUUGCUCCAAAUCUCAAUUUCGAUGUAUGUAUUGCCAUGUACAAAUUUCCACAAGCAGAGCACACAGUAGAGCAUAGAACACCAUAUAUCAGCCGGACAUGAAGCGUAUCCCUGUACAAAAGUAAAGCAUCCGCUCAUAAAUCAUAUCAAACAAAUUGCCCCAUUUCUCCUCUCUCACGCAACAUACAAAAUCGCAGGAGCAGUAAUCUUCUUCUCAGCCACAAUCAGUGUAUAUAUCCUCCCAAAAAUUUGGUGCCAUCUCAUGGAACCUUGCCAUGGACCUAACCAAAGAAUCACAUCUCUAUGUCUCUCCCCGUACUGGUUGCUCUCCCUCGUCCACCAUGGCCAUCCCCCAAGCACUCGACCAUGGCACCGGCAACCUCCCCAGUGCUCGGCAAUGAUCGUCAGUUGCCUUGUCAACACUUGGCCACGACACCAGCUGUCAUCGCCCCCGGUCAGCCCUCUAUCUCUUGUUCUCAGUCUGGAAAAACUGGUGAGAAAGGAACUUUCUACCUGAGACAAAAAAAUACAAUUUCCUGGUGCAUUAAAAGAAGCUAUUGUGGCAAUACAAGAGCUUAUGGGAACCUCAUAUAGUAAUGCGAAAAUCUCAAAGCCAGGUGAUCUGCCAAAAUUAGGUGUGCCAUUAUGCUUGACAAAACUCAACAAUCCACUUUCUGUAGUUCCUUACCUACUAUUUUGCAGAGUGGAAAUAAUGGGGAGGGCACAAGUGUAUGUCAAAGGGGAUCAUAAGACAAAAUAUGUUUAGUAAAUCACCACAAAAAAGCACAAACCUGAGUGUGUUAACAGAAUUGUUAGCAAUUGGGAUGGGCAUUGAUGAAAACAUUUCUGAUUCACAAUUUUAGAUCACAUGGCAACCUGCCCUUUUUAGAGAAAAAGUGGCCACGAGAAUCACAAAUUAGUUAUAGCUCCCUUCAUGCCUCUGACAUAAAUACAACCCCAAAAAGCAGUGAUAAAAGCUCCCCCCUGAAGCAGUAAGGACAACUUACCAUAUCAUUAAUCUUUCUCCUCUUAGGCUCAUCCCCAACAUCAAUACUCUGAAAACAAAAUACGCCAAAGAUGGAUUUUUACCUUCCAUGGAACAUUAGCCACUGAUGGAUUCCUAGUGUGGGAUUCAAGAGUUCACCGGGUCACGAUGCAUCGACGACAAGCCAACCAUGUGCUCUGUCAAGGUAGUCCGCAUCAGGGGGCUCGAGCAGGUGUUGGCUCUGAGCACUACCUCGCUAGCCUUGGACCUACUCGGGGCACAUCCGCAUUGGCCAUGUCAGCGGCGGCAUCGUUGUCUCCUACGCGGGCGCUCCCCUAGUGCACGGCUGCAUGCCCAACUUGUGGCUAGCAGCCAAGGCGGUGGGCUGCAAGCGUGUCGGACGUGGGGGUGGGGAUGUCAGCGGGUUUGUCUCGCCUCAUGAACGAUCUCGCGGGGCUUCAUCUUUAUUAAUGAGAGUUGAAAGUCAACACGGGUGGUCGAGUAUUCUUCAACAUCCACGGGCGAUAUUACAAAUUGGACAACUGACUAACCCGAUGCCGACGACCGACAAAAAAACAGAAGCAUUUUCUUCUACAACAGAUGCCUAAACAGGCCUUGAAGCCAUGUGAGGCCCAAUACAGCGACGGCUCGAAGAGGGGAGGCGAAUGAAAAUAACAUAAUUUAGCUCAAUGGCAAAAUGACACAUGAAAUGCAUAUUUUCUAAUUAGUAGUUCCAGUUCAAGGGUAGGUGAGCAAAGUAGUUUCCUGCUUGCAGAUAUUGCGGUGAAUAUCCCCACAACUCGCCCUUACGCCGUCUUUUAACAAAGGCCCAAUUACGAAGUCUACGGAUGGAGAAAAUGACAGUUUCCACGAACCAAACAAUAAUACAGCUAAAUGAAUCAACAGAUACAGUUUGAUAGGUAUCUAGGGGUCGAUGUGUAGUUUACCAAUUUUAAAAUUAGUAAAAGAUAAGUCUAGAGUUUUCAAAAUGUGGCACAGAGGCUCAAGCUAUCAUCUCAACAUUCCCUUGCCAGAAAAAUCAAUUGCUGGUAAUAGCACUUAGGCAUAGAAAUAACAUAACUUACAUUGCAUCGCCCAAAAAAAUUUACUACUAUAAAAACGCAUGAAUAUUUUUUUUGAGAAAACUAUAGAAAGGGCUGGCUAGUCAUAAAAAUAUGAAUGCAAUAGUAAUGUAACAUGAUGGAAUAACUACCGCUCGAAUAUUGAUAUGUAAAGAGGAUGCUGGAUGAGAACGAAGUAAUAAUCUGCUCUUAUCAUACCUUGGCUUGUCAAGUUCCAAAGAUUUCUCUGUACUGAAGCAUAUAAAGGUUAGGAACAUCAAACAAAGGUAGUAUCUAAGAAGCAUAUAAAGGUUAAGAACAUUAGACAAAGGUAGAAUCUAAGAUAAUUGGGUUGUAGCAAUCGUAUACUGCUCGUUUCGAACGACUGUUUCCACUGGAAAAAGCACAUUAACAAAUAAUUGAUGGUACAACUGCAAAAUAAUCUUGAAAAAUAAACUGUAUAUUUCACACUAAUUCUGCAUGACUACUGAUAAAGAACUCAAUUGCUUAUGGUUUUCCUCAAACAGCCGUGUAGCCCAACUGGACUAACUAUAAUGCACAUGUUAUAUGGCAACCAGGACAACCAGUGUCUCGAUCAUGUCGGUGCUUUGGGUAAAAGAAUUAUCAACUGUAAAUCACACUACCUUGAUCACUCAGCUGGUCCAAGAUCAAUGUUUUUGUUUGUUGCGCUUCUGUUUUCCUAACAACUUUGUUUUUCCUAUUUCAUCUUAAUGUUUUUGCCAUCCUUGUUUGUCUCCUCCCAGUCCGCCACCAAAAUCAAUCACGGCUGAAGUAGCUUGGAUCAAAUGGAGUAGCAUAACAUGUCCAGCAUCGCAUGCGGAUCUCCUUUUUGCAACGGGAUUUUUUGGCGCACGGAACCAAUUCUAGUACGAGCUACAGAUGGCAAGUGGAUUGGAGCACAAGCGACGGCAUCCUUGGCCACCCCGCGCCCAAGCUCCAUCGACUUUACUUACCUCCACCAUCGUCUCAUCUGCAGGGCCUCCCCUCGCCAGCGCCGCGCCGCGCCGAUCUCCCGGUGUUGCUGCCAGAUCGGGGUGGAGGGAGGAGAAGAGGUUGGUUCUCCAGAUCAGGGAUGGGAGAAGCCCGGAGGUGGCGCUCUGGCCUCGUAGGAUUGGUCGGAAGCGGCGCUAUCGGUGGAGACAUCAGAGACUUGGGGGAGGUUGGCGUCAACGGCAGUGGCCAGCGGCGAGAGGUGCGGCGGCGGUGACCGUCAAUUUGCUUGGGCGAAAAAAAGGUAUCGGGGCAUGGGGAUGGACGAGCUGGUGGGUAGUCCGACUAAUGUUUUUUGGAUGUACCCACG
rnacentral:rRNA from 1 species